rnacentral:rRNA from 1 species
AGCGAACGUUUGCGGCGGGCCUAACACAUGCAAGUCGAACGCACUAGCAAUAGUGAGUGGCGCACGGGUGCGUAACACGUGGGUAAUCAACCCUUCAGCCUGGGAUAACGACUCGAAAGGGUCGCUAAUACCGGAUACGGCGCGAGAGGCUUCGGCUUCUCACGAGAAAGCCACGCAAGGGGCACUGAAGGACGAGCCUGCGGCCCAUCAGCUAGUUGGUGAGGUAAGAGCUCACCAAGGCUAAGACGGGUAGCUGGUCUGAGAGGAUGAUCAGCCACACUGGAACUGAGACACGGUCCAGACUCCUACGGGAGGCAGCAGUGGGGGAAUAUUGCGCAAUGGGCGAAAGCCUGACGCAGCCACGCCGCGUGAGCGAUGAAGGCCUUCGGGUCGUAAGACUCUGUGGGGAGAGACGAAGAAAGACCUAGUGAAGAGCAGGCCUUGACGGUAUCUCCUUAGCAAGCACCGGCGUAACUCCGUGCCG